CUACUUAUUAGUGGGAACACGUGGUGUUUAUUUUUCUGUUCCUGAGAUACUUCACUUAGGAUAACGGUCUCCAGUCCAUCCAAGUCGCUAUGAAAGACAGGAUUUCAUUCCUUUUUAUGGCCGAGUUUACUCCAGGGUGUAUAUGUACCACAUUUUCUCUAUCCACUCAUGAAUCCAUGGGCACUUAGGGGGAUUCCAUGCCUUAAAAGGUGUAAGAUUUAAUCUCACCCUCAGGAAGGUGAUGGCCUGGUCAGGAAUGAGUACAAGUCAGGUGGCUGGUGCAUGACUUGUUGUGUACAGUGGCGUAAGGAGAAGAACACCUUCUUGGCUCAUUGAUGUUGGGCUUGCCUACGUGACUUGCUCUGGCCAGUGAACUCUGGGUGAACCCUGGUGUAUGCCACAUUAGAGCAGGAGCUUUGCAUGUGGCUGUGUGUUUUGCUUCUGCCUUUUGCCAGGAGAAGAGUAUGUCCCAGCUAGUGGCAGCUUCCUGGCUACUGGCUCCAGAAUGAAGUGACACUUAGAGCAGAGUGGGAACCCGGAGCAGGGAGCAAGCCCGCUAAAAACCUACAUGUGAUGUGAAUGAGAAAUAAAUACUUGAUGUAUCCA